ACGGAAGGCAGCAGUGGGGAAUAUUGCGCAAUGGGGGCAACCCUGACGCAGCAACGCCGCGUGAAGGAUGAAGGUCUUCGGAUUGUAAACUUUUGUCUUUGGUGAAGAUAAUGACAGUAGCCAAGGAGGAAGCCACGGCUAACUACGUGCCAGCAGCCGCGGUAAUACGUAGGUGGCAAGCGUUGUCCGGAUUUACUGGGUGUAAAGGGCGCGUAGACGGGUGUGCAAGUCAGAUGUGAAAUACCGCAGCUUAACUGCGGGGCUGCAUUUGAAACUGCAUAUCUUGAGUGCGGGAGAGGAAAGCGGAAUUCCUAGUGUAGCGGUGAAAUGCGUAGAUAUUAGGAGGAACACCAGUGGCGAAGGCGGCUUUCUGGACCGUAACUGACGUUGAGGCGCGAAAGCAUGGGUAGCAAACAGGAUUAGAUACCCUGGUA
rnacentral:rRNA from 1 species